CAAUGGCGUAUAUUAAAGUUGUUGCAGUUAAAAAGCUCGUAGUUGGAUUUGUGGCGUACGGUGUGUUCCGGGCACUUGUUGUCUGAGUAACCUGCUGUUGCCAUCCUUGGGUGGAACCUGUGUGGCAUUAGGUUGUCGUGCAGGGGAUGCCCAUCAUUUACUGUGAAAAAAUUAGAGUGUUCAAAGCAGGCUUAUGCCGUUGAAUAUAUUAGCAUGGAAUAAUGAGAUAGGACUUUUUUGCUAUUUUGUUGGUUUGCGCAAAGAGGUAAUGAUUAAUAGGGACAGUUGGGGGUAUUCGUAUUCCAUAGUCAGAGGUGAAAUUCUUGGAUUUUUGGAAGACGAACUACUGCGAAAGCAUUUACCAAGGAUGUUUUCAUUAA
rnacentral:rRNA from 1 species